AUUGAACGCUGGCGGCAUGCUUUACACAUGCAAGUCGAACGGCAGCGCGGGCUUCGGCCUGGCUGCGAGUGGCGAACGGGUGAGUAAUGCAUCGGAACGUGCCCCGUAGUGGGGGAUAGCCCGGCGAAAGCCGGAUUAAUACCGCAUACGACCUGAGGGUGAAAGCGGGGGACCGAAAGGCCUCGCGCUAUUGGAGCGGCCGUUGUCGGAUUCGCUAGUUGGUGGGGUAAAGGCUUACCAAGGCGACGAUCCGUAGCUGGUCUGAGAGGACGACCAGCCACACUGGGACUGAGACACGGCCCAGACCCCUACGGGAGGCAGCAGUGGGGAAUUUUGGACAAUGGGGGCAACCCUGAUCCAGCCAUGCCGCGUGCGGGAAGAAGGCCUUCGGGUUGUAACACGCUUUUGUUCGGGAAGAAAUCCUCUGGGCUAAUACCCCGGGGGGAUGACGGUACCGGAAGAAUAAGCACCGGCUAACUACGUG
rnacentral:rRNA from 1 species